rnacentral:rRNA from 1 species
AGGACGAACGCUGGCGGCGUGCUUAACACAUGCAAGUCGAACGGUGAAGCCUUUCGGGGUGGAUCAGUGGCGAACGGGUGAGUAACACGUGGGCAAUCUGCCCUGCAUUCUGGGACAAGCCUUGGAAACGAGGUCUAAUACCGGAUACGACGCAUCUCCGCAUGGGGUGUGCGUGGAAAGCUCCGGCGAUGCAGGAUGAGCCCGCGGCCUAUCAGCUUGUUGGUGGGGUAACUGCCUACCAAGGCGACGACGGGUA